CGCACGUAGGCAUCGGGGAAGGCCUUGGUGCAGGCGACGAUCUCGCGCAGCACCUGCAUGGGGUCGCGGCAGCCGAACAUGGGCAGCUUCCACAUGGUCCAGUAGCGGUUGUCGUAGUACAGCUGCGGGCGCACGGGAAAUGGGAGGGAGAAGAGGUUCAGUCACCAGCGCACAGAACCACCAAAGAUGGAAUUGGGCCCCUUGCUUUUCCGUGCUGAAGCACGAGCAGGGGUAUGCGUCAGUUCCCCGCGGUGAGAUAGGCGCUGUCCCGGUGCCAAGCUAACCCAGUGCCACAGUGGACCCGUCUGGCUCUCGCUCCGACUUACGCAAGACACGCUGCCGAAGCGGAUGGCCGACUCGUUGGACACGUAGGCCUUGUCGGCCUCAGCGAACUCCAGGCAGGGGAUCCAGCCUGCAAGCGACAGCACGAAGGGGGUAAGAUAAGUGGCCGACGCAAGCAGUCCAGGGCUAUCCCAGAUAAGGGCGGAUGACAGGCAAACUAUACAGCAGACAACGAACAAGCUAAUCUCAAGCUUCGAGCGAUCGUAAUGUCGCAGUCUGCAGCUACGCCCUAGAUCGUAUUAACUAGCUCUCAAACACAGCCCAGCUACAUAUGCCCACGGCACCAAGCCGUGCUCACCGUUGGCGACGAUGUAGUCGACCUGGGCGGCGAUCUGCUCGUCGGUCAGAGGAGGCAGGUAGGAGAAGGUCUCGAACAUCCUGCGAUCACGCGAUUGACCAGUACUCGUUAGAAGUGGCAGAGCACGUGCGAUGUGAGGCAGCAGGCUGGGCCCCAAGCAAUUGCGUCGCGACUUGCAGAAUCCCUAUCCUUCGGGCUGCGCUUGCUCGUCGACUCACUUGUUGUUGACCGGGGUCCAGACCAUCAUCUGGUUGGCCUGAGCCGGGGCAGCCACGGGGGCAGCCUUGACGGCGGGCUUCAGCGCGGCCAUGGGGCGCACGCUGGAGCGGGCCGGGCGAGCCACGGCCGCGGAGACGGAGGACUUGGCAAUGACGGCGGCCAUUUUAGAUGUUUGAGAAAGUGGUCGAAUGAACGAGUAAGUUCUUGGGACAAAGACUCGGAGGUGGCCGGUCGCCGUUUUCAAUCCCCGCUCGCCGAUGACCCGUACGGCAGGCUUAUCCGACUCGUCGGCUUUCACGACCGCCCGAGCCUGCGCGCUUCAUCCGCUUCCGGAUAGCUUGCUACGAUAAUGCAUUAUUCAAUUUUACGACGCAAUGUCAUGAGCAGCGCCGGGCGGGCUUAUUUACAUGCGUCGCCUCGCUCGCCGUUGACUUGAUACUUUGGAAAUUCGGGCUCGAUUCGUUGCUACAGCCUGCCUUUUGCACACAAUGUGAACGUCGAUUCUACAUUUGUAUGUGACUGAACUUCGCGGCCCCUACUGAACGUUUCGUGCAAGCGACAUGUCGACUCACAACUUGGAGGAACGCGCGAGGGGUCCCCACACGCACUUUCAGCCUGCUUUGGCGAAAUGGACAUGAUAGGUAUAGCCAGGAUAUGGGUCUGCUAGCUCGCCUGGUGUUUUGACCGUCGAUCGGUUUCGCGUUGGGCCUUGCGGCUGCUCGCUCGCCGCGGAUGCUUCCGCACACUGCGCGGCACGUGUUAGUCUGUGCACGACGACGGUUUGUUUGUAUUGCGCCGCCAACGUUCAACGGUGGUGGUAGGUUCGAAUGUCAGAAUGUCGGGCACGGGGACCUUGGGCGCAUUGCCUACAAGCGCGUGCCUGUGUUUUUGGGGGGCAGAGAAGUGAGCCUGCCUAUUGGGUCACAAUAGCACAGAGGCGGGUGGCCAGCGUCGGGAACUGGUUCAGAACGGCUGCAGGGACAGCACCGUGCGUGCGUGUGUGUGUGGGGGGAGCCUUCAAAGUUGACGAGCUUCGCAGCGCUGGGAUGGACUGGCAUUGCGUGCUUGAGUUUGCGUCCCGUGAGAACCCUGCAGUUUAUGGCGGAGACAGGGAAGAGGGAAUGGGAUCGCGCCGGUGCAGGGAAAGGGCACGAAUCUGAGGUUACGGUAUCUGGGGGGAGGUGCCCAUGUGGGAGGGGAAGCCUAACUGCCUGUCUGGGUGCAGACCAGGAAUGGCAACACGUGAACGGUUAGUAGAGAGCUGUGUGCUGUUGGGCGCUCUCGGCAAGGGGCGUGGGAGGGGGCUGGGUUGGUGGGCGGCUGUCCGCACAGUGCCUAGCAGUGCGCACUCAGGCCCUUCGCAGACCGAAGAGGGCGCCAGGGCCUAUGCGCGCGUGGCUUGGCGUGAGGUUCUUGCUGUUGGCGUCAGGCGCCGCAAAAGGCCGGGUGGCUCUGCAGUGUCCUGCUCGCUUGGCGUGCGGCAAAGUGGUUCAGUCAGCGAGCGCAGUGUAUGCGUGUGUGCGUGUAUGCGUGUGCGUGCGUGUGUGUGUGUGUGUGUGUGUGUGUGUGUGUGUGUGUGUGGUUGCUGCGGAGAGGGCACGCAGCGACACGAGAUUGCCAUGCAGUGGUGCAAGCUGCUGGGGUCGGGUAAACGGGGUGGGAAAGUUGGUGAUGGUGGAAUGUUCUUGUGGCACGAACUGGCCUUGUGCGUAUUCGUUCGCCCCGUUCACUCUGGUCCACCAAUCCCACAGUCACUGCACUUAAAUGCCUAAAAGCCCCUGCUACGGUGCGGACAGGGUAAGGCCACGGCAGGUCUAAGUCCAUAUGCGCCCGUAGAGGUUCGAGUGCGUUAACCGGUCGCAAGGUGUUCACAACAUGUUGAUGUGUUGACAACAUGGCUGUGGUCAAGACGUGCCCUGCGAACUUCCCGUGUUUACAUGUUAAUAGAGCUCGCUGACAGCAGUCAUUUGACACCAUUAUGGAAGAAAACAGAGGGGAUUUAGGGGGUGUACGGCACGGUAUGGCACGGUCGGUCGUCGGUCCGGGGGGUCGGGGGGUUCUGCAGGGUGGGGCCUGGAACUAUUGUUCGUACACCCCCGCCUGGCUCCCCUGCUCCCCCUGACUAACCCCUGACCUCUGGCUUUCUUCGCUUUCCUUUCAGUGUCACCAAUUCUCAUGAGUGGGGGCGCACCCCGAAAUAAGCGGGUACGGUGCUUCAGUUCAGUGCUUGCCACGGCCUCAAGAGCCCCAAACCACGUGCACCGAAAUUCGCUUGCACUCCAAAUGCACUGGGAAGCCAGUAGCAGCGCGCUCUCAAAUGCUGGCAUGUGUCUCUCUCUGUCCAGAGCCUGAAUGCGCCAAGUCUGCUACGGUAGGAGGGUGCAACCCGUGGCCCGCCUUGAACCGCGCUUGCACACACAGCUGGAUUGCUGCUGGCAUGACCGUGUGAAAGAGGUACAGGCAGCCGGGCAAGUCCCAGCGGGCAGGUUGGUGUAGGCUAUGCCCCAUAACAGGCCCGUGCAUGCUGCCACGGACUUCUCGCCAGGAAUGUAAGUCCCGAUGCUAGACAAUUACUCCAGCAGCUGCAUGCCGCCAUCUUCAGUACUCGGUAUCCCUUGGUGCACGCAAGUCAAGGAUCAGUCCCAGGGCUCACCCUGGAGCAAUGCAGCCUGCGUGUGCACCUGCGAUGGAGCCGCGGCCUGCGGUAUUGGCUGCCCGAUUACGAAGCUGCGGGUGGGGGCAGUUGGCACGCAUUCCGCCACAGACCCCGCGAGCCUAGCCGCACCCAAGCUCUAAGCGGCCUAGACCGUGACCAAAGGCGAAGAAGCCGCGGCCAUCCCUGCGCUCAGAUUGCAUUGGUUACAAGAGGGACCUGCUGACGCAGUUCAUGGCUUCAUGCGCUCAGAGCCCGAGCCCUGAGCGGCAGCAAAAGCAGAAGCCACGCUACGUGUGCUAGCUACGACCAAUGCCUUGUACAGCUCUCCUCGGCUGCGCUCUUCGGCUGCGCUCCUCGGCUGCGCGGGACAGGGGACUCCGUGCAACCACUAUUGCUUAUAGCCUGCACCAGUCAUUGACGAGUGUUGCGGAACUAAUGCGUACGUAGACCAGAGCGGAAGGCGGAGUGGGCUUGCAGGCGGCACGAGAGUAGGCAGUCAGUAGCGCAAGUUGCGAAUUCCCAUGUUACCUCGUAACCGACGGUAAACGCUGUGGACGGUCGCGCCCAUGGCUGGCUGACGGAAGCUGGCUGCGGUAUUGGGAUGGCUGGGCUGGAUGACGCCGGCCGGGCUGGCGUUGGGACUACCAGAAAGGAUGCGCCCGAAACCAACCUGGAGAACACCAGCGCCACCGGUGCCCAGCACGACAUGUAAGGGAGGGAGGGAGGGACAGGAGGCGUGAUGCACUGCAGCGUAGAAGCUGCAGUCAUGGGCACAGCUUGUACCAUACAGCACGGUCAUCAAGGACACAAUGCCGGAACGGCAUCAUACGAGGCGGGGUUGGGAGCUGCAGGAAGUGGGCAGCGGGGCAGAAUCAAAGGUUUGCAUCGUUUAGAACAGGUGCGGAACACGCGCCAGCGCCAGCGCGGAGGACCCCAAGUAAGGCCUUUACUCACCAAUGUACGUUUUGUACACCCAAUCUCGCCCCCUAUCGACGUUGGCACUAGGUAGCUGGCUAUCAUUCUAUGCAGAUUAAGCAAAGGGGCACCGGGAACAACUGACUCAUGUUCGUCACUGCAGGUUACUGCAAAUGCUGUCUCCACCUUUGCUGCACGGUUCCGUUUCGUCACGUUUGCUGGUGUUGCUACCCGCCGUUCUUUAGUGUGUAACUGAUCUGCGAACCGAGUCCCCUUCAGCUGAUGAACCCCGCAGCAACUUUUCCAAAAGCGCUUCAAAUACGCCCAGCCCGCCCAUGGAGAAAGAGGCCAAAAUCAACGGAGGAUCGUUACAACCAACAAAAUUGCAAAACUCCUCCGCUUUUUACGUGUUGAAAAAGACUGAUCAGCACGAAACGGGGAGCUAAGCUACCGCUUCAGCACUUGAGAGCAGUAUCUUCCAUCCACCGCCGUUCGUCAGGGGGCAAGGCUCAGAUCAACGAGCGCCUCCAUUUACACGGAGCGCUUGUUGGCGGGCUGCCAGUCGCGGGCAGACUUGGGGCGCUGGACCAGGAAGCCCAUGAUCUGCACCUGCUUCUGGUUGUCGAAGGCCACCAGGCGCACGUAGGCAUCGGGGAAGGCCUUGGUGCAGGCGACGAUCUCGCGCAGCACCUGCAUGGGGUCGCGGCAGCCGAACAUGGGCAGCUUCCACAUGGUCCAGUAGCGGUU
rnacentral:lncRNA from 1 species